rnacentral:lncRNA from 1 species
CCCUCUUGGCAAAGCUGAGUAAAAGGAGGCAUAAGGAGGUUAAACAGCACGUCCAAGUUCACAGAAUUACUAAGUGCAGCUAGUAGGCAAAGCUAGGUUCAACGAUCUAAAAAGACAGGAUCAUUUUUCUAAAUUCCCUUUCUUUCCCACUCCUGAUAUGUCAUAAAGGAGAAGGCUCCUCUUGAUUUCUAAAACUAUAUUGGGAAAGUACACAGUUCUCAUCUCUUCCACCCAAAUAAGUUUAUCAGUGUUAACUACGCACUGCACUUUAAGUAGUAGUAGUGGUCGUCUCUCCGUAGCCGAGGAUGACAAUCGUCUUUGUGCGCUUUCAUCUGUGAUGUAGAUGAGUGUGCACAGAGACACUUGCGCGUGAAGGAGAUUUAAGUGGAAGAGUCGGUGCACAGAGACAGUCCCACCCUCUUGGCGUUGGAAGCCUGGGUCCAGUGGCACGAAAAGUCGUUACACCUGGAGACUUCCUCAGCUGCAUUGGAUGGCCAUGUUGUCUUUUGUGCUCCAACACGCCCUGAUCACUCCACAGUGCUUUGCUGCGUCGCCCUCUCAGCCGUUGAACCUUCUUGUUGGUUUCUUCCACCUGUUCGGCCGAAGCAGUCUUCACAUGCUGGUCUAAGGAAUAACUGCUCUUAGGAUCCUCAUUCUAUCACUACAACGGAGGCUGAGGUUAAGUUACUGGCCAAGGACAACGCCUCUAAGUGUGGGAGGCCAGAUUUGAUCUCAGGUUGUCCAGACUCAUAGACCAGCACUCAACUCACCGUGCAACCUCGCUGCCUCUCCUGGGAGAUACUCCUUCCACCUGUCAUUUUACCUGUGAACCUUUACAUUGUUCUGUGCUCCCU